rnacentral:rRNA from 1 species
GAUGAACGCUGGCGGCGUGCCUAAUACAUGCAAGUCGAGCGAACAGAUGAGGAGCUUGCUCCUCUGACGUUAGCGGCGGACGGGUGAGUAACACGUGGAUAACCUACCUAUAAGACUGGGAUAACUUCGGGAAACCGGAGCUAAUACCGGAUAAUAUAUUGAACCGCAUGGUUCAAUAGUGAAAGACGGUUUUGCUGUCACUUAUAGAUGGAUCCGCGCCGCAUUAGCUAGUUGGUAAGGUAACGGCUUACCAAGGCAACGAUGCGUAGCCGACCUGAGAGGCUGAUCGGCCACACUGGAACUGAGACACGGUCCAUACUCCUACGGGAGGCAGCAGUAGGGAAUCUUCCGCAAUGGGCGAAAGCCUGACGGAGCAACGCCGCGUGAGUGAUGAAGGUCUUCGGAUCGUAAAACUCUGUUAUUAGGGAAGAACAAAUGUGUAAGUAACUAUGCACGUCUUGACGGUACCUAAUCAGAAAGCCACGGCUAACUACGUG